GCAGUAGCCGCGGUAAUACGUAGGGUCCGAGCGUUGUCCGGAAUUACUGGGCGUAAAGAGCUCGUAGGUGGUUUGUCGCGUUGUUCGUGAAAACUCACAGCUUAACUGUGGGCGUGCGGGCGAUACGGGCAGACUAGAGUACUGCAGGGGAGACUGGAAUUCCUGGUGUAGCGGUGGAAUGCGCAGAUAUCAGGAGGAACACCGGUGGCGAAGGCGGGUCUCUGGGCAGUAACUGACGCUGAGGAGCGAAAGCGUGGGGAGCGAACAGGAUUAGAUACCCCAGUAGUCCCUGUCUCUUAUAC
rnacentral:rRNA from 1 species